rnacentral:rRNA from 1 species
UACGUAGGGGGCGAGCGUUGUCCGAAGUUACUGGGCGUAAAGCGCGCGUAGGCGGACUCUUAAGUGAGGGGUGAAAGGUUCAGGGCUCAACCCGAACACUGCCUUUCAUACUGGGAGUCUUGAGUGCGGGAGAGGCGAGUGGAAUGGUCGGUGUAGCGGUGAAAUGCGUAGAGAUCGGGAGGAACAUCUGUGGCGAAGGCGGCCACCUGGACCAACACUGACACUGAGGCACGAAAGCGUGGGGAGCAAACAGG